GAAAGGCGCGCGAUACAGGGUGACAGCCCCGUACACAAAAAUGCACAUACUGUGAGCUCGAUGAGUAGGGCGGGACACGUGGUAUCCUGUCUGAAUAUGGGGGGACCAUCCUCCAAGGCUAAAUACUCCUGACUGACCGAUAGUGAACCAGUACCGUGAGGGAAAGGCGAAAAGAACCCCGGCGAGGGGAGUGAAAAAGAACCUGAAACCGUGUACGUACAAGCAGUGGGAGCACGCUUAGGCGUGUGACUGCGUACCUUUUGUAUAAUGGGUCAGCGACUUAUAUUCUGUAGCAAGGUUAACCGAAUAGGGGAGCCGAAGGGAAACCGAGUCUUAACUGGGCGUUAAGUUGCAGGGUAUAGACCCGAAACCCGGUGAUCUAGCCAUGGGCAGGUUGAAGGUUGGGUAACACUAACUGGAGGACCGAACCGACUAAUGUUGAAAAAUUAGCGGAUGACUUGUGGCUGGGGGUGAAAGGCCAAUCAAACCGGGAGAUAGCUGGUUCUCCCCGAAAGCUAUUUAGGUAGCGCCUCGUGAAUUCAUCUCCGGGGGUAGAGCACUGUUUCGGCAAGGGGGUCAUCCCGACUUACCAACCCGAUGCAAACUGCGAAUACCGGAGAAUGUUAUCACGGGAGACACACGGCGGGUGCUAACGUCCGUCGUGAAGAGGGAAACAACCCAGACCGCCAGCUAAGGUCCCAAAGUCAUGGUUAAGUGGGAAACGAUGUGGGAAGGCCCAGACAGCCAGGAUGUUGGCUUAGAAGCAGCCAUCAUUUAAAGAAAGCGUAAUAGCUCACUGGUCGAGUCGGCCUGCGCGGAAGAUGUAACGGGGCUAAACCAUGCACCGAAGCUGCGGCAGCGACGCUGAUGCGUUGUUGGGUAGGGGAGCGUUCUGUAAGCCUGUGAAGGUGUGCUGUGAGGCAUGCUGGAGGUAUCAGAAGUGCGAAUGCUGACAUAAGUAACGAUAAAGCGGGUGAAAAGCCCGCUCGCCGGAAGACCAAGGGUUCCUGUCCAACGUUAAUCGGGGCAGGGUGAGUCGACCCCUAAGGCGAGGCCGAAAGGCGUAGUCGAUGGGAAACAGGUUAAUAUUCCUGUACUUGGUGUUACUGCGAAGGGGGGACGGAGAAGGCUAUGUUGGCCGGGCGACGGUUGUCCCGGUUUAAGCGUGUAGGCUGGUUUUCCAGGCAAAUCCGGAAAAUCAAGGCUGAGGCGUGAUGACGAGGCACUACGGUGCUGAAGCAACAAAUGCCCUGCUUCCAGGAAAAGCCUCUAAGCAUCAGGUAACAUCAAAUCGUACCCCAAACCGACACAGGUGGUCAGGUAGAGAAUACCAAGGCGCUUGAGAGAACUCGGGUGAAGGAACUAGGCAAAAUGGUGCCGUAACUUCGGGAGAAGGCACGCUGAUAUGUAGGUGAAGCGACUUGCUCGUGGAGCUGAAAUCAGUCGAAGAUACCAGCUGGCUGCAACUGUUUAUUAAAAACACAGCACUGUGCAAACACGAAAGUGGACGUAUACGGUGUGACGCCUGCCCGGUGCCGGAAGGUUAAUUGAUGGGGUCAGCGCAAGCGAAGCUCUUGAUCGAAGCCCCGGUAAACGGCGGCCGUAACUAUAACGGUCCUAAGGUAGCGAAAUUCCUUGUCGGGUAAGUUCCGACCUGCACGAAUGGCGUAAUGAUGGCCAGGCUGUCUCCACCCGAGACUCAGUGAAAUUGAACUCGCUGUGAAGAUGCAGUGUACCCGCGGCAAGACGGAAAGACCCCGUGAACCUUUACUAUAGCUUGACACUGAACAUUGAGCCUUGAUGUGUAGGAUAGGUGGGAGGCUUUGAAGUGUGGACGCCAGUCUGCAUGGAGCCGGCCUUGAAAUACCACCCUUUAAUGUUUGAUGUUCUAACGUUGACCCGUGAUCCGGGUUGCGGACAGUGUCUGGUGGGUAGUUUGACUGGGGCGGUCUCCUCCUAAAGAGUAACGGAGGAGCACGAAGGUUGGCUAAUCCUGGUCGGACAUCAGGAGGUUAGUGCAAUGGCAUAAGCCAGCUUGACUGCGAGCGUGACGGCGCGAGCAGGUGCGAAAGCAGGUCAUAGUGAUCCGGUGGUUCUGAAUGGAAGGGCCAUCGCUCAACGGAUAAAAGGUACUCCGGGGAUAACAGGCUGAUACCGCCCAAGAGUUCAUAUCGACGGCGGUGUUUGGCACCUCGAUGUCGGCUCAUCACAUCCUGGGGCUGAAGUAGGUCCCAAGGGUAUGGCUGUUCGCCAUUUAAAGUGGUACGCGAGCUGGGUUUAGAACGUCGUGAGACAGUUCGGUCCCUAUCUGCCGUGGGCGCUGGAGAACUGAGGGGGGCUGCUCCUAGUACGAGAGGACCGGAGUGGACGCAUCACUGGUGUUCGGGUUGUCAUGCCAAUGGCACUGCCCGGUAGCUAAAUGCGGAAGAGAUAAGUGCUGAAAGCAUCUAAGCACGAAACUUGCCCCGAGAUGAGUUCUCCCUGACUCCUUGAGAGUCCUGAAGGAACGUUGAAGACGACGACGUUGAUAGGCCGGGUGUGUAAGCGCAGCGAUGCGUUGAGCUAACCGGUACUAAUGAACCGUGAG
rnacentral:rRNA from 1 species